rnacentral:rRNA from 1 species
AGAGUUUGAUCCUGGCUCAGGACGAACGCUGGCGGCGUGCCUAACACAUGCAAGUCACGGGGGUCCGCAAGGGCAACCGGCGAACGGGUGCGUAACACGUGAGCAAUCUGCCGAUUUCUGGGGGAUAGCCGGUCCAACGACCGGGUAAUACCGCAUACGCUCAUUGGGGGGCAUUCCCCGAUGAGGAAACCUCCGGGGGAAAUCGAGGAGCUCGCGGCCUAUCAGCUAGUUGGUGCGGUAACGGCGCACCAAGGCGACGACGGGUAGCUGGUCUGAGAGGAUGGCCAGCCACAUUGGGACUGCGACACGGCCCAGACUCCUACGGGAGGCAGCAGUGGGGAAUAUUGCGCAAUGGACGAAAGUCUGACGCAGCGACGCCGCGUGUGGGAUGAAGCUUUUCGGAGUGUAAACCACUGUUGCUCGGGACGAACAUCCCUUUUCGAGGGGACUGACGGUACCGAGUGAGGAAGCACCGGCUAACUCUGUGCCAGCAGCCGCGGUAAUACAGAGGGUGCGAGCGUUGUCCGGAAUCACUGGGCGUAAAGGGCGCGUAGGUGGCUUGGUAAGCGUGUGGUGAAAGCUCGGGGCUCAACCCCGAGUCGGCCAUGCGAACUGCCGAGCUGGAGCAUGGUAGAGGCAGGUGGAAUUCCGGGUGUAGCGGUGGAAUGCGUAGAUAUCCGGAAGAACACCGGUGGCGAAGGCGGCCUGCUGGGCCAUUGCUGACACUGAGGCGCGACAGCGUGGGGAGCAAACAGGAUUAGAUACCCUGGUAGUCCACGCCGUAAACGAUGGGCACUAGGUGCUUGGGGGAGCGACCCCCUGAGUGCCGGCGCUAACGCAUGAAGUGCCCCGCCUGGGGAGUACGGCCGCAAGGCUGAAACUCAAAGGAAUUGACGGGGGCCC